rnacentral:rRNA from 1 species
GGGAUAACAGUUGGAAACGGCUGCUAAUACCGCAUAAGCGCACGGCAUCGCAUGAUGCAGUGUGAAAAACUCCGGUGGUAUAAGAUGGACCCGCGUUGGAUUAGCUAGUUGGUGAGGUAACGGCCCACCAAGGCGACGAUCCAUAGCCGACCUGAGAGGGUGACCGGCCACAUUGGGACUGAGACACGGCCCAAACUCCUACGGGAGGCAGCAGUGGGGAAUAUUGCACAAUGGGCGAAAGCCUGAUGCAGCGACGCCGCGUGAGCGAAGAAGUAUUUCGGUAUGUAAAGCUCUAUCAGCAGGGAAGAUAAUGACGGUACCUGACUAAGAAGCACCGGCUAAAUACGUGCCAGCAGCCGCGGUAAUACGUAUGGUGCAAGCGUUAUCCGGAUUUACUGGGUGUAAAGGGAGCGCAGGCGGUGCGGCAAGUCUGAUGUGAAAGCCCGGGGCUCAACCCCGGUACUGCAUUGGAAACUGUCGUACUAGAGUGUCGGAGGGGUAAGCGGAAUUCCUAGUGUAGCGGUGAAAUGCGUAGAUAUUAGGAGGAACACCAGUGGCGAAGGCGGCUUACUGGACGAUAACUGACGCUGAGGCUCGAAAGCGUGGAGAGCAAACAGGAUUAGAUACCCUGGUAGUCCACGCCGUAAACGAUGAAUAGUAGGUGUUGGGAAGCAUUGCUUCUCGGUGCCGCCA